CCCUUAGAUGUCCUGGGCCGCACGCGCGUUACACUGAUGCAUUCAACGAGCUUAUAACCUUGGCCGAGAGGCCUGGGCAAUCUUGUUAACGUGCAUCGUGAUAGGGAUAGAUUAUUGAAAUUAUUAAUCUUGAACGAGGAAUUCCUAGUAAACGCAGAUCAUCAAUCUGCAUUGAUUACGUCCCUGCCCUUUGUACACACCGCCCGUCGCACCUACCGAUUGGAUGGUCCAGUGAAGCCUCGGGAUUGUGGUUCUUGCCGCUUUAUUGUGGCGUGACCGCGAGAACUUGUCUAAACCUUAUCAUCUAGAGGAAGGUGAAGUCGUAACA
rnacentral:rRNA from 1 species